rnacentral:rRNA from 1 species
UGCCAGCAGCCGCGGUAAUACGUAGGGGGCAAGCGUUACUCGGAUUUAUUGGGCGUAAAGCGAAUGUAGGCGGUUUUGUAAGUCAGGGGUGAAAUCCCUCAGCUCAACUGAGGAAUUGCCCUUGAUACUACUUAACUUGAGGACAGGAGAGGAAAGUGGAAUUCCCGGUGUAGCGGUGGAAUGCGUAGAUAUCGGGAGGAACACCAGAGGCGAAGGCGGCUUUCUGGACUGAUCCUGACGCUGAGAUUCGAAAGCUAGGGGAGCAAACAGGAUUAGAUACCCUGGUAGUCCUAGCUGUAAACGAUGGAUACUAGAUCUUGCAAAAUUUGCUUGGUCGUAGCUAACGCGUUAAGUAUCCCGCCUGGGGAGUACGGUCGCAAGGCUGAAACUCAAAUAAAUUGACGG